rnacentral:sRNA from 18 species
CGGAAGUGCCUUUCUGAACUGGCCUGAUUGAUGCGUAGAGAACACCAAUCCUCCCAGCUCAAGGGGCACUUUCCUCAUUCCGACACCCCACGACCAACCAAUUUAUCGGUGGAUCGAG